rnacentral:rRNA from 1 species
GGAGUUGAUCCUGGCUCUAGAUUGAACGCUGGCGGCAUGCCUUACACAUGCAAGUCGAACGGCAGCACGGGGGCAACCCUGGUGGCGAGUGGCGAACGGGUGAGUAAUACAUCGGAACGUGUCCUGUAGUGGGGGAUAGCCCGGCGAAAGCCGGAUUAAUACCGCAUACGCUCUACGGAGGAAAGGGGGGGAUCUUAGGACCUCUCGCUACAGGGGCGGCCGAUGGCAGAUUAGCUAGUUGGUGGGGUAAAGGCCUACCAAGGCGACGAUCUGUAGCUGGUCUGAGAGGACGACCAGCCACACUGGGACUGAGACACGGCCCAGACUCCUACGGGAGGCAGCAGUGGGGAAUUUUGGACAAUGGGGGCAAGCCUGAUCCAGCAAUGCCGCGUGUGUGAAGAAGGCCUUCGGGUUGUAAAGCACUUUUGUCCGGAAAGAAAACCUCUGGGUUAAUACCCCGGGGGGAUGACGGUACCGGAAGAAUAAGCACCGGGCUA